UUUGGAUGGCCUAUUGAAGGCCAAGUAUUAAUGCAUGGCUAAGAAUGAGUUUUAGGAGAUAUUUGUGUGAGAAUUAAAAGCCAAAGGGCCCCUCACUCAUCCCUAUCCAUUCUCUCUUUCUCUCACCCCUCUAACCGAUUACACUCACUCCCCCAUCUCUCCAUUUUCCUCGCACGAAGCCAAGAGCAGAGAAGCCGCGCCUGCACACCCAUCUCCGCGCACCCGAACUCCAAACUCGUUCGGUCCAUCUUCUUGCCGUGAAGUCGCAAGAUCCACCGAAGCUGCUCCUCACGUCUGCGUCUUCAACUCGAGCAAACAGCCGCGCCAGCGAAGAAUCCAUCUUCGUCCACGAAGCUGCUCCAUCUCCACGCUGCCACCUGCCCGCUCCUCUUUCUGCUUCGGUCAACAAACGGACCGCCGAAGCCACCGAUUUCCCAGCAGCAACUCCACGUAGACGCUGCAGCCCCACUUCGACUUGUCUUCAAAGGAGUCAACGGAACCAGCAGCUUCUCCUCUUCUGUUGACCGAAGCUGCCAGCGGAUGCCCCUUCUCCACUGAGGUUGGUCGGCCACAGAAGCUAGCAAGCUGCCCGAGAAUUUCCUCCAUCGUCAAUCGAAGUCGUAGCACCUUCCAGCAAAGACCGAAGCAGCCGCACGUUCCCCUCGUCCGUGUAUCUUCAGCCCAAGUCUAGGUUUCACGCUCGGCAAAGCCCAUCUCCAGUUGAGCUUGCUUCAGCCCAUCUGCAGAUGCAUUUCCAGCCCAGCAUCAAUUGGAUUGGAAGCCCGGCAAUUUCAGUCUUUCGGGCCCAGCAAAGACAGGCCCAAUUCAGUUUUAUUUCAAGCCCAUUUUCAGCAAUUGUAGUCUUCAAGCCCAGUUUUUGAAGCCCAAUCGCAGCUAGGCCCAAGUCCAAGAGCAAGCCCAUUCCAGUGCAAGAACAAAUCUCAUUUGGGCUGAGAUUUGUUGGGGCCAAGUCCAAGGCCCGGUCCAAGCCCGCCGGUGUUGUCGAAAAUCCAAUUUCGGCCGCCGUCGUGUCGCCGUUGCGGUGAUUCGAUCUCCGCUUUUGUCAAGUGAGUUUUACUCACUAAAGCUUUCUUAGUUUGCUAAAUAUGCUUAGGGGUUGGUUAGAUUUAAUUAAAUGCAAUUAGGUGGUUAGAUUAGUUUAGAUCAAUUAAAUUAGAGACUUAAUGAUGCAUGUUAGGUGGUUAGAAAUAGACAUUAGCAAGUAGACAUGCCAUGUUAUUUAUGGAGCGAGUCUCGGUAAUUUUCCGGGCUUGUCUCGGUAUCCAAUUCAGCAUUAUAAGCCUAAAUUGGAUUUUUAUAAUUAUUUAUUUAAUUUUCGAAAUUAAUUAUUUAAUUAUUUAUUUUUCCGGAAAUUCAACCGGGAUGGCCGGUGACCGGAAUUUCGUGCUGAUUGUCGUGGUGCAGUCCGUUUAUUUAUUUGAGCUUUAUUUGGUGCUAAAGUAAUUUAUGAGUGAAUUUAAGAUUUAUUCCUAAAUUGAAUCUGGAGAGGGUCGAGUGGGACCGUAAAGCCACUAGUUCUUGAGAGGGUCGGGUGGGACCGUAAAGCCGCUAGUUCUUGAGAGGGUCGGGUGGGACCGUAAAGCCACUAGUUCUUGAAAGGGUCUGACUGAUAUGAAAUCGACUAGGUCGAUUCGAUCGAUGCUUUGAUCGGUGAUGUGAUUGUUUGAAUGCCUAUUGAACUGUACUAAUAUGCAGAUGGAAUCUGAGCCCAAAGUAAGUCCUCCAACUCGUGCCGUGUUUAGGCAGCCUAUAGUGUAUUGGCUUUCUAAUCAAGUUUUAGGGGGUAGGACUCGCUGAGACGUGGUCUCAUUGGUUAUUGAAUAACCAUUUCAGGACCCUGAGGAGAAGCUAAGGAAGAGGAACCUGAAGGGGAGAAAGACUUUAGAAGAAGAAGAUGAUCGAGAGAGGGAUCUUGAAUAUAACCCGGGUGUGGACUGAGAUCCCAUCCCUUUUGUAAACCCUGUCUUAGUAUAGAUAGGUGUGAGACAAGUAUGUUGUGAAUAGUAUUGUAAAUAUACUAUGAGUUGUGCUGUUAAUGAAAGUGUGGUUAUGAAUUUCAAUAUGAAAAAUAUGGCCUACUUUCCUAUCCCAUUCUUUUAUUGUCUGGGGAUUUAUAACUGCUUCCACAUGUGCUUAAUAAAUAGAAAGGGUCGGCGAUACAUAGUCCUGGGAUAUCGCAUUCUAAAAUCGACCAAGUAGAAGGAUGUGCGCGCGUCCGAGGAUCGGGGCGUGACACCUACACUGUCUCAUUUACUCUUUGCUGAUGAUG
rnacentral:lncRNA from 1 species